AUGUUUUUAAUUGCUAUUCCAUUUUCCCCCACAGAUAGAAACCUUGAUGCAAACAUUGCUCCUAAGCCCACAAUUUUUUUUCCUUCAACUACUGAGAGAGAACUCCAUAAGGCUGGAACAUAUCUUUGUCUUCUUGAGAAUUUUUUCCCUGAUGUUAUCAAGAUAGAUUGGAAAGAAAAAGAUAGCAAAACAAUUCUGAAAUCGCAGCAGGGAGACACCAUGAAGACUAAUGACACAUACAUGAAAUUCAGCUGGCUGACCGUGACUGGAGCGUCAAUGGAUAAAGAACACAAAUGUAUUGUCAAACAUGAGCGGAAUAAAGGAGGGGUUGAUCAAGAGAUUCUAUUUUCUUCCCACAUAAAAGAGCUCACUGCUAUUAAGUCUACAAAAGCUUCUCUGAAAGAUGAAAAUGACACCCUGCAGCUGCAGCUCAUGAGCACCUCUGCCUACUACAUCUACCUCCUCCUCUUCUUCAAGAACCUGAUUUACUCCACCAUCAUUGCCUUCUAUCUGCUUGGGAGACCAGCAUUCUGUGGCAAUGGGAAGAGUUCCUAGCACAUGGUGGCACCCAGGGUCCACUUGUCUUCAUUGGCUAUUGUCGCCUAAAACAUCAUCUGAGAAUAUAGCAGGGCUUUCUGGGUUUGGGUUAUUUCAGUUCACAGGUGUCUCUUUCUAUUGUGUCAUUAUUGCAGAAUGGUUUUACAAACCAUUGGACAAGCAGAAAAGUUCAAUCUGCAGCAAGAACAAAUUCUGCCAUGACUCAGGGGUGGGGCCAGGGGGCCAUCCACAGGGGCUUCAGCACUGUUCUCUCCUUAAUGUCUACCAGCUCCUCAGAGCCACCCCUGCCUGAGUUUAGCCAAUGCACAGCUUCCAGGUGUAUCUCCUGGGGCUCUUUAACCAGAUAAUUGCUUCGAAACCUUUUAUUUUACACAUCUGGAAGCUGCAAUCUUUGCUACCUGAAUUUUGUAUCGCUUUCAUAAUAGGCACAAUAAAAACAAUCAAAAGUCUA